AUUGAACGCUGGCGGCAUGCCUAACACAUGCAAGUCGAACGGCAGCGCGGGCUUCGGCCUGGCCGCGAGUGGCGAACGGGUGAGUAAUGCAUCGGAACGUGCCCUGUCGUGGGGGAUAGCCCGACGACAGCCGGAUUAAUACCGCAUCCGACCUGAGGGUGAACGCGGGGGUCCGAAAGGCCUCGCGCUAUUGGCGCGGCCGAUGUCGGAUUAGCUAGUUGGUGGGGCAAAGGCUUACCAAGGCGACGAUCCGUAGCUGGUCUGAGAGGACGACCAGCCACACUGGGACUGAGACACGGCCCAGACUCCUACGGGAGGCAGCAGUGGGGAAUUUUGGACAAUGGGGGCAACCCUGAUCCAGCCAUGCCGCGUGCGGGAAGAAGGCCUUCGGGUUGUAAACCGCUUUUUUUCGGGAAGAAAUCCUCUGGGCUAAUACCCCGGGGGGAUGACGGUACCGGAAGAAUAAGCACCGGCUAACUACGUG
rnacentral:rRNA from 1 species